UACGGAGGGGUGCAAGCGUUUAUCCGGAUUCACUGGGUUUAAAGGGUGCGUAGGCGGGUAAGUAAGUCCGUGGUGAAAUCUCUGAGCUUAACUCAGAAACUGCCGUGGAUACUAUUUGCCUUGAAUAUUGUGGAGGUGAGCGGAAUAUGUCAUGUAGCGGUGAAAAUGCUUAGAUAUGACAUAGAACACCAAUUGCGAAGGCAGCUCACUACUCAAUCAUUGACGCUGAGGCACGAAAGCGUGGGGAUCAAACAGG
rnacentral:rRNA from 1 species